rnacentral:ncRNA from 1 species
UAAAGGUUUGGUCCUGGCCUUAUAGUUAAUUAAAGGUGAGAUUACACAUGCAAAUUUCCAUGUACCUGUGAGAAUCCCCUUAAAGUUCACCUAAAGUUUAAGGAGAUGGUAUCAAGCACAUUCUAUAGCUUUAAACACCUAGCUCAGCCACUCCCCCACGGGAUACAGCAGUGAUAAAAAUUUAGCAAUAAACGAAAGUUGACUAAGCUACACCUUAUAGGGUUGGUAAAUUUCGUGCCAGCCACCGCGGUCAUACGAUUAACUCAAACUAACUAAUUUUCGGCGUAAAACGUGUUAUAACAUAAUAAAAAUAGAAUUAAAACCCAGCCAAUACGUUUAAGUUCAUCGUUAGGGCCUAAACUCGCAAACGAAAGUAAUUCUAAUUUAUCUAUACACGAUAGCUAAGAUCCAAACUGGGAUUAGAUACCCCACUAUGCUUAGCCCUAAACCUAAAUAAUUAUAAUAACAAAAUUAUUUGCCAGAGAACUACGAGCUACUGCUUAAAACUCAAAGGACUUGGCGGCGCUUUAUAUCCGUCUAGAGGAGCCUGUUCUAUAAUCGAUAAACCCCGUUCCACCUUACCAACUCUUGCUUUUCAGCUUAUAUACCGCCAUCUUAAGUUAACCCUAAAAGGAAGAAAAGUAAACGAAAGAACAAACAUAAAGACGUUAGGUCAAGGUGUAGCCUAUGAGUUGGAAAGCAAUGGGCUACAUUUUCUUUUAAAGAAUAUUACGAUACCUCUUAUGAAAUUUAAGAGGUCAAGGAGGAUUUAGUAGUAAAUUAAGAAUAGAGUGCUUAAUUGAAUGGAAAGCUCUGAAGCGGCCGGUACACACCGCCCGUCACCCUCCUCAAAUUUUAAAAAUAACUCCUACAUAAAUAAAAAAAAAUAAACUAUACGAGAGGAGGAAAGUCGUAACAUGGUAAGCAUACUGGAAAGUGUGCUUGGACUACU